rnacentral:rRNA from 8 species
GUGGGUAGUUUGACUGGGGCGGUCUCCUCCUAAAGAGUAACGGAGGAGCACGAAGGUUGGCUAAUCCUGGUCGGACAUCAGGAGGUUAGUGCAAUGGCAUAAGCCAGCUUGACUGCGAGCGUGACGGCGCGAGCAGGUGCGAAAGCAGGUCAUAGUGAUCCGGUGGUUCUGAAUGGAAGGGCCAUCGCUCAACGGAUAAAAGGUACUCCGGGGAUAACAGGCUGAUACCGCCCAAGAGUUCAUAUCGACGGCGGUGUUUGGCACCUCGAUGUCGGCUCAUCACAUCCUGGGGCUGAAGUAGGUCCCAAGGGUAUGGCUGUUCGCCAUUUAAAGUGGUACGCGAGCUGGGUUUAGAACGUCGUGAGACAGUUCGGUCCCUAUCUGCCGUGGGCGCUGGAGAACUGAGGGGGGCUGCUCCUAGUACGAGAGGACCGGAGUGGACGCAUCACUGGUGUUCGGGUUGUCAUGCCAAUGGCACUGCCCGGUAGCUAAAUGCGGAAGAGAUAAGUGCUGAAAGCAUCUAAGCACGAAACUUGCCCCGAGAUGAGUUCUCCCUGAGACUUAGAGUCUCCUGAAGGAACGUUGAAGACGACGACGUUGAUAGGCCGGGUGUGUAAGCGCAGCGAUGCGUUGAGCUAACCGGUACUAAUGAACCGUGAGGCUUAACCUUACAACGCCGAAGCUGUU